AUUUUACAGAUCAUUCAUUCAGGACAUGCUGCAUCUGGGGUUGGCAUCAUUUCCCUUUUGAAUGACAGAAUGUGCAUAAAAGUCUCUUGCCCACGCUGAACUCACACGUGCCCGGCAGGAAGGAGCUCUCACGAAGUGCCAGCUGGAUGUGAGCUUGCUCUGGCAGCAGCAGUGCUGUCCUUGUUUCUGAGCUGCCACCUAUUCACUGGAGUUAGACAGAUGCAGCAGCGGGAGGAAGGGCUUUGGUCUUAAACUAGAAGCUGCAGCUGAAACUCUCCCCGUCUAAUCCUGCUGUGUGUAUGGCUCACACCAUCUUUCCUGAGUGGGGAAAACCGCUGGCACUGAAUAGCUGAAAGGCUCGCUGAAAUCUGUGCUUCAAGAACGAGUUAAAGACAAUACAAUAAAACACAUAGACACUGAAGGGGUUCAACUAAUGUCCAUCACUUAUUCUGCUAAUGUCAGUGCCUUUCAAUAAACUUCUCAACAUCUGUGUUGGUAAACUUCUCAAUAUUUGUUCUAGCCCAACCACGGUGACAAAGCUCCCUUGCCCAAAGAUCGUGAGCCUAGACAAAGGUGGAUAAGAAAUAUGAAGUCUAAAGCUAUAGAAUAUAGCAGUUAGUGAAGUAAAUUAAACAUGCCCCUCGCCUGCAUGCUGAUCAGAGUGUUGAAACUGAAGACGACAUUGGCAAAGUGACUCAGACCCACAGCACAGAUUUGAUCAAGGGCACAGCUCAUAAAAAUAGCAACAAUUUCGAAUUCUCCUAUCCAACGUUUAGGAAACAAUCCAAUGGCAAGAAAUGAGAGGAGUUCAAUGCCAACAGUUUGACCUGUGGGCAAUCAACCUAUAAGUCCUCAAAAGAAAAUUUCCUUGCUUUCCCU
rnacentral:lncRNA from 10 species